rnacentral:rRNA from 1 species
CCUGAUCCAGCCAUGCCGCGUGCGUGAAGAAGGCCUUCUGGUUGUAAAGCUGCUUUUGCCAGGAGAAUAAAAGCCCAUGCGUGGGAAAUUGAAGGUACCUGGUGAAUAAG